rnacentral:lncRNA from 1 species
CUGGGAUCUCACCACCUGUAAGGGUGGUUUGCACCCAGUAGACCUUUGAUUUGUUGGCUGGCUGGCCAGCUGGAGGUGGAAGGCAUGAAUGAAUGCGUAACACGAAACUAGAUCCCUUAGAUAUGAUCACACCUCACUUGGAUAUAGUCUCCUAAAUGUAGAUAAACCAGAAACCUGUUAUUCAGCUGUUGGCAAAGUUUUCUGGUCUCUCUUUACAGGCAAUUAUGCCGCCAAGGGUUGAGUUCACUGUUCCCUCUCAGGAGAGGGAUUGUGAUGCAGUGAAAAGAAUACAGAUUUAGAAUUUGAAGCCUGGUGUUAAAAUAUAAAUCAGUUACUUCCCAACAGUGUUAUCUUGGGCCAGUCACUUAACCUCUCUCGGGCGUUCUCUACAUCCACAAAAAGCAGAAUAAUAACACCCUGCAUUGUACAGGAUUUUGGUAACGAUUACAUGAGAUAAUGCAUUAGAAAGUGGCUUGUGUGCCAAAAGCGAAGCAGAAAUUUGAGCAGCCAGUCUUCUCUUUGAGGCAGGCAAUGCCAGCUAUUUUCUUUAUGAAUUCAUAGGAGCUUAGCUUUUCAGAUAUGGUAUCGCUUCGUUUCUGUCGAGAAAACAUCAAGAUAAUGUGAAUGCUGCUAAUCCCCAGAAAAAUAAGCAGAAUAAUGACAGCCCUUCAUCUCUGUAGACUGAUCGGCUCACACGGUGUGUUCCCACGCAAGAUCACAUCCAGUCUGCACAACGGGCCCAGCCAGGGGCUGUUGAGGCCCCUCGGGGUUGCAGAGGAACUGUGCCCCCAACGGCAUUCCCCUAGGAGGGAGGCUAAGAGCCGAACAGACCUGCAGCUGAAUUCCCUGUGCAGAAUGUGGCACAGAGGCUGGCAUCCCAGUUGCCAGGGGUGCAAGUCUGUUGCCUGGUCUGUUGACUCUAGCUGUGAUGGUUCAUCUGAGGUGUCAACAUGACUGGGUCCCCAGCGGGGCAGCCAGACAUGACCUUGGGUGUGUCUGUGAUUGAUAUUUGAAUCAUAAACUGUGUAAAGGAGAAGGGCCUCUCUCUUUUUUCUUUUUUGCUUUUUAGGGCCACACCUGCAGCAUAUGGAAAUUCCCCGCUAGGGGUCAAGUUGGAGCUGCAGCUGCCGGCUUACGCCACAGCCACAGCCACAGCCACACCAGGUCUCGAGCCUCUUCUGUGACCUAUACCACAGCUCAUGGCAGCGUGGGAUCCUUAACCCACUGAGCAAGGCCAGGAAUUGAACUUGCAUCCUCAUGGAUACUAGUCAGGUUCGUUUUGGCUGAGUCACAAGGGCGACUCAAGGGCCCUCUCUGAUGUGGGUGGGUCUCAGGCAAUCAGAAGACCCAAGUGGAACAAAGAAGGUGAGGAAGAGAGGACCCCACCCCUCUGACUGCUUUGAGCUGGGACCUUGGCUUUCCUGGGUCUGGAGCUUUGGAUAUGGACCUGUGGCAUCAGCUUUCUUGGUUUGCAGGCCUUUAUAUAUUUAUUUUUUGUCUUUAUUUAUUUAUUUUUUUUUUGUCUUUUUUUAGGUCCACACCUGCAGCAUAUGGAGGGUCCCAGGCUAGGGGUCCAAUCGGAGCUACAGCUGUCAGCCUACACCACAGCCACAGCAAUACUGGAUUCGAGCCGCGUCUGCGAACUACACCACAGCUCAUGGCAACCCUGGAUCCUUAACCCACUGAGCAAGGCCAGGGAUGGAACCCACGUCCUCAUGGUAACCAGUAAGGUUCUUUAACCCCUAAACCAUGUCGGGGACUCCUCACAGCCCUUUAAACUCAGAUGGGAACCAUACCGUCGGCACUCUUGCACCUCAAACUGGCCAACUGCAGGUCUCAGGGCUUCUCAGCCUCCAUAAUUGUGUGGACCGAUUCUAUAUAAUAAAAAAAUGCAUGUGGAUCUCUAGAUCUCUCUAAUGCUCUCUUGAUUUAUCUCCUUUCUAUUGGUUCUAUUUCUCCGGAGAACCUUGAAUAAUAUGCCAAUCAAGGGACAAAUCACAUAUGGAAAGAAACCUCUCAAUAAAGAAUAGAAGAGUUUCCCGGUGGCCUAGUGGUUGGACCUUGGCACUUUCACUGCUGUGGCCUGGGGUUCAAUCCCUGGCCUUGCUCUGGGAACUGAGAUCCCACAUUAAGUCACUGCAUUCUGUGAGCAGGGAAGGACCGAAGGACAAAUUUAUAGAAAUACAGAAGGAUUGGAAGGAAGAAUAAAGUAUCUUGAAGUAUUUUAUUUAUAAACAUUACAUUUUAGAACAGUUUUAGAUUUACCAAAAAAAAAAAAAA